CGCAUCGUGUAGCUGCAAAAGAUUUGAAUUUGUUGGAAUUAUUUGCAAGCACAUCCUAGCAUUGUUCAGAAGGGACCAGAUUGAAUAUAUGCCCGAUAAAUACAUUUUGAAGAGGUGGAAGAAAACUGCGAAAUUUGGAUUGGUGUCAGAUGCAAAUGGCAACGAAAUUAAAGACUCUGCAGAUCCUGGUCUUUUAAUAAAGCGGAGUACAAUGUCCCGACUUGCUUCAGAUGUGGUUGAGGAUGCAUUAAUGUGUGAAGAAGGAUGUGAGCUACUGUCAGAGACUCUAAAAAGUUUGCAGGUGAAGUUGAAGUUGUUGAAGGAUGGACCAAGUAAUAACGAAGUUGGAGGGUCCAGCUCUCAAACACAAUAUAUGAAAGACCCUAAGAGAGUAAGGUGCAAUGGAGGGUCGAAACGAGUAACGGGAGCAAAGGAAAAGGCAAUGAAGCGAGGGAUUAGACACUGUCGGGAGUGUGGACACAUUGGUCAUGAUAGAAGACAAUGCCCAAGAAAUUUGAACACACCGACAUCACCGUCGAACAAUGACGAAUCAACUCCAAUAGAUCUUAGUGACCCAUUAUUCGACGAAUUUUACAGGAUGCACGGACCAACUCAAUGAUUUAGGUUUCUAUUAUACGAAGCCCGGUUAUUAUGAAGACUAAUGAUCAGGCUAAUGCAGCAUUUCCAGCAACCAGCUGCUGUUUUCAUUACCAGUAAUGAUUUCCAGCAGCACGCAUCAUUUCUUGCA